UACGUAGGGUGCGAGCGUUAAUCGGAAUUACUGGGCGUAAAGCGUGCGUAGGCGGUUCGCUGUGUCCGAUGUGAAAGCCCCGGGCUUAACCUGGGAAUGGCAUUGGAAACUGGCGGGCUUGAGUGUGGCAGAGGGGGGUGGAAUUCCGCGUGUAGCAGUGAAAUGCGUAGAGAUGCGGAGGAACACCGAUGGCGAAGGCAGCCCCCUGGGUCGAGACUGACGCUGAGGCGCGAAAGCGUGGGGAGCAAACAGG
rnacentral:rRNA from 1 species